UACGAGGGGGGCAAGCGUUGUUCGGAAUUAUUGGGCGUAAAGGGCGCGUAGGCGGUUUGACAAGUCUGAUGUGAAAUCUAUGGGCUCAACCCAUAGCCUGCAUUAGAAACUGUCGGGCUUGAGUAUGGGAGAGGUGAGUGGAAUUUCCGGUGUAGCGGUGAAAUGCGUAGAUAUCGUUUGGAACGCCAAUGGUGAAAACAGGUAGCUGGGGAUGUGCCGACGCUGAGACACGAAAGCCAGGGGAGCGAACGGG
rnacentral:rRNA from 1 species